GUCGUGAACACCGUCAAUUCAAAAGGCAUUUUCAUCAUCCAACACGAACAAAUGGUUGUAUAAAAUUAUGGAUCCUAACUCGGAAGAAAUUCAAUCAAGUUCAAGCUCUACAAUACACAGUUGCGACUACUUCUCAGCUAAGAUGCCCGUUAACCUUGAAGGCAGUUUUAUACUGAAAAAGGUGAGCACCAAUAAUGGCUAGUUUCACUUUCAACAGCUUGGUUUCACCUACAACACAAGUCAGAGAAUGUGAAGAAACCAUAGACCAGUGUCCCUCGUCUACUUCAUCUUUAGAGCAAUUUUUCCAUUUUUGCAGUCUCUCCCUCCAUUUCACAAAGAUGGCAGAGUCAGACUUGAAUUGGUUUUGCUGGGGAGGCAUUCAACUUGAUUCAUUGUCCAAUUCAGCCACUACUAAAGAUUGUGCCAACUUAAACGAGAAAAGACAAAUUAUGAACCGACACACUCGUAGCUUUCCAUUUACUAUAAAUCUGCAACAAAUACAAGCAAAUCCCUGCACCACCACAGCAAUUCCCCCAAACACCACAACCUUUCACUCUUAUAAUAGUUGCACCUUCCAUUCUCCCCAACCUCAAACCUUAUCAAGUUAUCCCCAAUAACUAAUCCUAAAAGGGGCAGAUCUGGUUAUCCAAGGCCUCUGCUGUUGUAAAUGUACAGAAAUUUUUGCAAUGAUAUCAAUAUAAUGAGAUCAUGAUAUGCAACCAGGGGAUGUUUCCUCUUCUGAUUCUGAGGAAUGGAAGUGAGGGUGGUUGAGAAAGACUCCAUGCNACUUAGUGAUAUGCUCAAUUAAAAACAUAAUUAUAUGACCUAUUUAAUUGUACAUGUCAUUUAGUGCCAAUUUAGGUGUCACUUUUUGAUAUGCUCAAUUAAAGAUAGAAUUAUACAUUUCAUUUAAUGUCCUAUAAAUUGAUAUAGUAGUUAUAAUGUUGUAUUAUGGCCACAUGCACCAUUAACAAGCACACGAGACCCGUACAUUUCUACGACUUUAAUGAAGGAGAUCGAGCUUUAAAUCGAGACUUUGAUGACCCCCACUCAAAAGAAAACGAUAUGGGCUCAUGCGAUGUCAACAAUAAAAAGUAAGAUCCUAUUUGAGCCCCAUUCUACUAAAAAUUCAUUUUCAAUCACACAUUGUUCAAUAAAAUAAUAUUACAGACAAAUUCAAAACGUUUUCUUAAUUCUUAACUACCCAUUAUCCAUCAAUCUACUAUUCAAAAUGCAUCAUUUCUCCAAAAAUGUAGUUCAAACAAGGGAUAAAUGAAGAAAAAUAUCGAGUUGGUAGAAUUCUUUUCGGAGUGGGGGAAUUAAAAGAGAGAAUGAAGGAGGUAGUCAACCAAGAAGCAAGUGCAACCAUGCCAAGUUCGGAAGAAUCAGUUCGUUCAUUGAUUUGAGACUCAAUAAUGAAGUUCAGUUGCCCUUUAACCUCCAAUUUUCCAACCCUAGUUUCAACUUCAAAAUCAAGGGAGUUGCCUCAACAGAAUCAAUCUUGGUUGUAUAAUCUCUUUAAGCAAAAAUAAGACCAAUGUUAUUGAGUGAGAUGCAAUGAUCUAAGAAAAGAUAGACUGAAACUCUCUCUCCGUAGGUAUUCGUACUUAUUAAAGAAGGGUAUAGAUAGGCUUGACAUGUUAUUUACGAGGUCUUGCUUGAAAGGAUUGCUACGUGGCACCCCAAGACCAAGUCAUAAAUCGUAUUCAUCUUUCUUAAAAAUUAAAUGUAUGAAUUUACCCGACAAUCAUUAUUUGAAAACUUUUUUCUACGUAUUCAUCAAUUAUAUUCACACAAUAAAAUAUUCUUUGUAUAAACCCAAAUUUUUUCCUUACUUCUAUUCCAUACCUUCGUUUUAUAAAUCACUAUUUAAAACAUUAUUUUUUGGAGGGGCUUUAUUAUAAAUUAUUUUGACUAAAACUAAUGAUUCUAUAGAAUAAUCGAAAAUAUUCUCCAUCACCUUUAUCACUUCCCAAAAAUAAACUCAAUAAGUUAUUUCCUAAUCAACAUUCAAUCUCCUUCAAAGAACAGAAUCCAAAACUCACUUCCCACGAUUGUAAAUCUAGCCAAUUGGUCAAGUAGAAUUCUAAACAUUCAUUUACAUAAUAUUGUUUCCACUCACAAUUCCCGGAGUGUUGAUAGAAAAAAUUUCCAGUUAUUUAUACACAAUUUUCCCAUCACUUACAAACAAGCGUCCAUUCACUGAAUACAAGUAAAAGUUCGAAGCACUGGUUUACACAAGGCACUUUGACGAGCAAAUCCCUACACACUUGUACACCUGCAUGAGCAGUUAUCACAGAUUACAAACCAAAUAGGCAAACACUAUAUAAAGAAUAAAUUAAAAACAAGUACAUUACCGAACAAACUUGUACGUCGUGAACACCGUCAAUUCAAAAGGCAUUUUCAUCACCCAACACGAACAAAUGGGUAUAUAAACUUAUGGAUCCUACCUCGGAAGAAAUUCAAUCAAGUUCAAGGUCUACAAUACACAGCUGCCACUACUUCUCAGCUGAGAUGCCCGUUAACCUUGAAGGCAGUUUUAUACUGAAAAAGGUGAGCACCAAUAAUGGCUAGUUUCACUUUCAACACCUUGGUUUCACCUACAACACAAGUCAGAGAAUGUUAAGAUACCAUAGACCAGUGUCCCUCGUCUACUUCAUCUUUAGAGCAAUUUUUCCAUUUUUGCAGUCUCUCCCUCCAUUUCACAAAGAUGGCAGAGUCAGACUUGAAUUGGUUUUGCUGGGGAGGCAUUCAACUUGAUUCAUUGUCCAAUUCUGGCACUACUCAAGAUUGUGCCAACUUAAACGAGAAAAAAAAAAAGACAAAUU
rnacentral:lncRNA from 1 species